UGGCGACAUGUCACAGCAGUUUAAGUAAUACUCCAAACCCAUGAGCCUCGCUCAGCCGCUCGCUCAGUCGCCCGUCUGUGCUGUGCUUACAGGCAGCGCCAGACACUCCUGGAGCUCGUGCUCCUUCCUCUGUUCAAGCCCACCUGCCCAUCAGUGCAUUUAAAGAUGGACAGCUCCCGUGCAGGCCGAGUCCUGGUAUUUCUGAGGUUGCCAUUUGACUCAACCCUGACAUAGCUUUCCAUAUAUCCUGUUAUUUCUGAAUCCACUUUACCUCAUGUCCUCAGAGUACCUAUAACACUUACUUACCCCUUCCUAGAUGGCAUUAAACUCCAUUUUAGAUUUUAGGAAGUCACAAUGUGCACUCACUCAGCUGAUCAGGAGUCAUUGGCAGGUGUACGUGCCCUGGGGCUUUUCCUUAGUUUCGUGGACUCUGCUGAUCACUGUGUCUCUAAGUUAGACUUAUUUCCUAGUGGCUUUGUCACAUGCUCCAACUUGAAUUUUUUUUUAAAAAGUAGUUGAAUGUAUAUAUCAGGGAGGAAGAAGCAAGUAAACUGAGCUUGCCAACUUCAAGGGUGACCCUCUCAGGCUCCUUUUUUAAGUGGUGGGGUUCCCUACUAGCUAGGAAGGCCUUGAGAGGGCUGACUGGGGAGUCACUGAGGAUGAAUCUGUCAUCUCAGGCAAUAACGUGUAGGCAUCAUCAUGAAUCACAUACAGUUCUUUUUAGGCAUGAGUGUGCAUUACUGAUCCACUCAUUCAUUCACUGAGUAUUUAUUGAACGCCUCUUGGGUGUCAGACAUGUACUGGGUGCCAGGAAUGCCACUGGGUCAUGAAAUUCACCUCUGGAGGAGACGGGAUAAGUGAGUUGACACAUAAAUAAUGUAGUUUGCGAUAGUGAUUAAGUGCUAUGAGAAACUAGGAUGAUACGUAGAGGGGGUUGGGGGGCCAGGUAGCAAGAGUCAGGAACUCUGCGCUGAAGGUGCUGGGGUCAGGUGACAGGAGCAAUGACAGCACACAGCACAGGUGCUGCUGGCUCUGGGGAGGAGAUGCCGGUGCUGGAGGAGGUGUGUGCGGAGGGGAGGUGCUGAGCCAUGAGCUUUUAAUGGCUAGCAUUUAUGGGCCUGUUGUGUUUAUUUUUAUUUCUAUUGACUGAUGGUAAAAUUCAUGGAAGAACUCAAGGCAUGUUGAGAAGACCAGAAGUCCCCAGUGACACCUACACAAAGCUCCCAGUUCCGUUUCCUUCUCUUUCCCAUUCUCUGUCUCCCACAUGCAGUCCUUUGCUCAGGAAGUCUUUGGGGAAGCUAAUGACCUGUAAAUUUGAAGUGGGUGACUGGUCUGGUGGCUUCUGCCAGCCAUCUAAGACUGGAUAAAGAACUUCCCAGAUGGUUAGAAAUUGAGACUGCUUUGCUUGGGGUUUUUUUGUUUUUUGUUUUGUUGUUUUGUUUUGUUUUUUGGUGUUUGGCUGGAAGAGGUUUUUGUAAAACUGAAGCCUUGGUGCAUAGAGGGCUUUGCAGGAGCACAUAGUCAGUGGGAGUGGGUGGGGUUUAAGAAUGAAUCUGUCACUGUGUGUUUCUAUGUAGACACCUUCAGGCAAGCCUUUGGCCCACUGGUCACUGCCUUCCCCCUUUCCACAGAGGGCUAUUGGCUAACAAAGCCCCUUCCUGGCCUCACGGCCACCACAGCAAUUUCCUGUAGUGUCUUACACUUCCCCGUGUCACCACAGAGUGGAGCAUUAGAGAAAAGCCUGGAUAGAUUUAGUUGAUAGAGAGCCAGUUGAAAUAUCAUCAAUAGAAUUUUAGUUUAGGGAAAAUUGGUUUGAUUUCUAGCUUUAUUACUAUUAGGUAUAUAAGCUUGGGAAAAUUGCUUAAUCUUCAGGUCUAGUUUUCUCACAGAAUGAGGACACCGGACUAAAUAAUUUCCCAACUUCCAGCUAGUCCUAGAGUUCUAUAUUUCUACAUAGUUGAAUUAUUUUAUCAUGCUGUUGCUGGGGGAUACAACUAACACUUUUGAAGCUACUAAUUUUAUGUCAAGCUUUAAAGUCCAUAAUUGUUAUCUUCAGAAAUAUUAUUUGACCUACAGUAUGUUUAAAUCAAUUUAAUAAAAUCACUUUAUAACAGGG
rnacentral:lncRNA from 1 species